rnacentral:rRNA from 1 species
AUGAACGCUGGCGGCGUGCCUAAUACAUGCAAGUCGAGCGAACAGACGAGGAGCUUGCUCCUCUGACGUUAGCGGCGGACGGGUGAGUAACACGUGGAUAACCUACCUAUAAGACUGGGAUAACUUCGGGAAACCGGAGCUAAAACCGGAUAAUAUAUUGAACCGCAUGGUUCAAUAGUGAAAGACGGUUUUGCUGUCACUUAUAGAUGGAUCCGCGCCGCAUUAGCUAGUUGGUAAGGUAACGGCUUACCAAGGCAACGAUGCGUAGCCGACCUGAGAGGGUGAUCGGCCACACUGGAACUGAGACACGGUCCAGACUCCUACGGGAGGCAGCAGUAGGGAAUCUUCCGCAAAGGGCGAAAGCCUGACGGAGCAACGCCGCGUGAGUGAUGAAGGUCUUCGGAUCGUAAAACUCUGUUAUUAGGGAAGAACAAAUGUGUAAGUAACUAUGCACGUCUUGACGGUACCUAAUCAGAAAGCCACGGCUAACUACGUG